UGCUGAAAGGUUUCAGGGUUCGUUUGGUUUCGAUCGUUUUCUCAAAUUGAGCUACUGACGCCGUUUAAAAGAAAACACUGUUACACACGUAUGUCAUGUUCAAGUCCCCAUCCCGACCACGCCCAUCCCCCACUCUGGCCAUGUGGCCAGUGUGUAUACCGGAGUCCCCAUGGUGUCCAGCCCCUCCCCUCACGUAAGCUGUGAACUCUGCGUCAGAUCUUCACUGCAUGGACGAGAGCAGGCUGGAGUCAUGGAUCAGGGAGAGAUGGAAGAAGAUUUGACAACCAUUCAUGGUCACCGUGACAGCCCUUUAAAUUCUUCAGGAAAUGGACCAGAGCUCUUCUGACUCUACAGUGAUCCUUGAACUAAGUUCCGUCCCUGAAAAGGAGGACAUAAGUGUUCCUGAACUCAAGAGAGC